rnacentral:misc_RNA from 1 species
UAUGAAGAACGCAGCGAAAUGCGAUACGUAAUGUGAAUUGCAGAAUUCAGUGAAUCAUCGAAUCUUUGAACGCAUAUUGCGCUCUCUGGUAUUCCGGAGAGCAUGCUUGUUUGAGUAUCAGUAAACACCUCAACUCCCCUUUCUUUUUUUGAAAUGGGAGCUGGACUUGAGUGAUCCCAACGCUUUUCUCACCGAAAAGUGGCGGGUUACUUGAAAUGCAGGUGCAGCUGGACUUUUCUCUGAGCUAAAAGCAUAUCUAUUUAGUCUGCCUAAAAAACAGAUUAUUACCUUUGCUGCAGCUAACAUAAAGGAGAUUAGUUCUUGUGCUGACUGAUGCAGGAUUCACAGAGACAGCUUCGGCUGGCCUUUGUAAACUCGAUCUCAAAUCAAGUAAGACUACCCGCUGAACUUAAGCAUAUCAAUAAGCGGAGGA